ACGCUGGCGGCGUGCCUAAUACAUGCAAGUCGAGCGAGAAAGUCUCUUCGGAGAUGAGUAAAGCGGCGCACGGGUGAGUAACACGUGGGCAAUCUGCCCUCGAGUCUGGGAUAACCCGGGGAAACUCGGGCUAAUACCGGAUACGGCUACGGGGUCUUUGGGCCCUGUGGAGAAAGAUGGCCUCUUCUUGAAAGCAAUCUCUCGAGGAUGAGCCCGCGUCCUAUUAGCUAGUUGGUGGGGUAACGGCUCACCAAGGCAAAGAUGGGUAGCUGGUCUGAGAGGAUGACCAGCCACACUGGAACUGAGACACGGUCCAGACUCCUACGGGAGGCAGCAGUAGGGAAUUUUGGGCAAUGGGCGAAAGCCUGACCCAGCAACGCCGCGUGUGGGAUGAAGGCCCUCGGGUCGUAAACCACUGUCAGGAGGAAAGAAAAGUCGGCCGGGUAAUAUUCGGUCGACCUGWACGUACCUCCAAAGGAAGCACCGGCUAACUCCGUGCCAGCAGCCGCGGUAAUACGGAGGGUGCAAGCGUUGUUCGGAAUUACUGGGCGUAAAGCGCGUGUAGGUGGUCGAGUAAGUCGAAUGUGAAAGCCCCGGGCUCAACCCGGGAAGUGCAUCCGAAACUGCUCGACUAGAGUCCCGGAGAGGAAGGCAGAAUUCCCAAUGUAGGGGUGAAAUCCGUAGAUAUUGGGAGGAAUACCGGUGGCGAAGGCGGCCUUCUGGACGGUGACUGACACUCAGACGCGAAAGCGUGGGGAGCAAACAGGAUUAGAUACCCUGGUAGUCCACGCUGUAAACGUUGCGAACUAGGUGUCGGGGGUAUUCACCCCUCCGGUGCCGAAGCUAACGUCUUAAGUUCGCCGCCUGGGAAGUACGGCCGCAAGGCUAAAACUCAAAGGAAUUGACGGGGGCCCGCACAAGCGGUGGAGCAUGUGGUUCAAUUCGAUGCAACGCGAAGAACCUUACCUGGGCUUGACAUCCCGAGAAUCCCUCAGAAAUGAGGGAGUGCCCGUAAGGGAACUCGGAGACAGGUGCUGCAUGGCUGUCGCCAGCUCGUGUCGUGAGAUGUUGGGUUAAGUCCCGCAACGAGCGCAACCCUUGCCCUUAGUUGCCAGCGGUUCGGCCGGGCACUUUAGGGGGACCGCCGUAUGUC
rnacentral:rRNA from 1 species